UUACGGCCACAAUCAUGUUGAAACACCGUUUCUCUUAUGAUCACCUAAGUUGAGCAACGUCGAGCAUGAUCAGCACUUAGAUGGGUGACCGCUGGGAAAACCAGGUGCUGCAC